UAAAGAGUAUAAAGAAUGCAUGCUUAAUAGCUCACCCAUAAGUACCAGAUAAACUGAUUGGAUCCAGUGACACAGUUUAGCAGAGGGUUUUCCUUACGACCAGAUGAACGGCACAGGCUGUUUCUCUCUUACGGUUGAUGUGUUUGCUCUUCAAAUGUAGCAGUGAAAAACAAUGACGCAAGAGACGCGUCUCGUGAAUGUCACUCGGGAGGGAACAGAUACACACGGCCAACCCGUACCCGGUCGAGCCUCGGUGGAAGCGUGCCGUGAUCCGUUGGAAUCCAUUCUGCUUGGUGAUUUGAGCAGACCGUGCCUGACAAAGCGCAAAGACGAAUGCCACGGGCUGCGUCUCCGUUGCGGUUGACGCGUCAUUGUUUUUGAACGUCAGAUUUGAAGAGCGAACGCAGGAGACGCGUCUCGUGAAUGUUACUUGGCAGG